rnacentral:rRNA from 1 species
GAUGAACGCUGGCGGCGUGCCUAAAACAUGCAAGUCGAGCGGUAAGGCCCCUUCGGGGGUACACGAGCGGCGGACGGGUGAGUAACACGUGGGAAUCUACCCCAAACUGAGGGAUAAGCACCGGAAACGGUGUCUAAUACCGCAUAUGGUCUCCGGAUUAAAGCUUCGGCGGUUUGGGAAGAGCCCGCGCAAGAUUAGCUAGUUGGUAAGGUAAUGGCUUACCAAGGCGACGAUCUUUAGCUGGUUUGAGAGGAUGAUCAGCCACACUGGAACUGAGACACGGUCCAGACUCCUACGGGAGGCAGCAGUUAGGAAUCUUCCACAAUGGGCGAAAGCCUGAUGGAGCAACGCCGCGUGCAGGAUGAAUGCCUUCGGGUUGUAAACUGCUUUUAUGUGCGAAGAAUAUGACGGUAACACAUGAAUAAGGAUCGGCUAACUCCGUGCCAGCAGCCGCCGCCG